AGUUUUGUUUUAUUGAGAAAAUAAAGGAGACAAACGUCCGUGAUUCCCCUCUCAUGUUUUGGCACCAUUCAACAAGCUGCAGACGUGGAAGAUAUAAGGGGGUGUUGGGUUCUGAAAUGGGAAGAAAAUCCUUGCUGCAAAAAUUUGUGAAGGAGGUGAAGUUCAGAGUUGCUAGAGUUGCUGGAGUUGCUUGGUGCUGCAAGCCUUGAGGGGGAUAGAUUCAAAGAUUCACAAGGGAAAUCUUCAAGAGAUGGUGAGGAGGAUACUUUGGGAGCAGCUCUUGAUGAAGACGGUAGUGUUGCAGCUCAGAAUAACUAGUCUUAUUUCGUGAAUUCUUAAUGUUUGGGAGAACUCGUGUGUAAUUUAAGUUUUAAAUUCCCUGUAUUUCCCUUGGAGAAACCCUUGUACUCUAGUCGUGAUUUCCGCACUAUUCUAAGGAUGACUGUAAUACUGAAUUAACUCUUGACUGCUUUCC